rnacentral:misc_RNA from 1 species
AUUUUAAUCCGAACUCGAUGGCCAAAUAAAUCACGAGAGAGAGCCCGGGAUGACGUCAGAAAUCCAUAAAAAAAUGUUAUUGUUCUCUAGCGCCAUCUGUGAGUGGCGAGAGCAACUAUUAGUAAACACCCCCCCAACCCUGUAGACUUCGUUCAAUCCCGUUCCUGGUUGUAAGUACAAGAGUUUGUUGUCAAAUGUCAGUGGCAGCAGUCAGCAGGGGAAAAACCGUUUUUUUUUUCCGGGGGAAUAAGAAGAAGAAUUGAAUGGCGAUUUUAUACGUGUGUGUGCUGAUGGGCUAGCUUGACUCCCGCCUUAAUCAUUAGACCUCAAUUCAAUUAGGUCUUUAUAGACUUGUUUCCUAGCUGCUCUAAACAUCCGGCUUCUCAAUUAACCUGCGUGUGUCGCUGGCCAAGUCUCGUUGUGUGUGUUUGUUUGUGCGUGGCGCUCCGUUGACAGCUCCACUCUCCACCACCAACAUUUCUUUUGCUUUUCAGUCUCUUUUUCCUUCUUCUUUUUCCUUGACACACACAUUUGGCCGACGACGACGAAACGGAAUGCGUCACGUCAGUCUGGUGGCCAGUCGACGAGAUUUCCAAAAGCCAUGGAAUUCGGCCUCUAUAUCUGUUUGUUGACUCUACAUCGCCACAUUUACACGCAAACAGUUUACUCUAGUGAGAGGUCAGGGAGGGGAUAGAUCAGCUAUUUUCUCAUCCUCUCCCUUGUGUGUGUGAAUUUUCUUUCUUUUUGUUUAUGGGGUUUGGUUUUUGUUUCUCGCUUUUAUUUCUGUCUGGCCAUCUGAAAACCAACAUAGCAACGCUUGCUUAUUUUGUUGACCCCUCCUCCUGGUCUGCUGAUGAAAUUCCCCUUUCCCAUUUGUUUGCGUCCCUAAUGGGAUGUCUGCUCUACCCAGUCAGUGUUACCAUAAUACAUAAUGGAAUUAUGGCUGCGAUAAGGCUUCUUCUGGACAGAAGUUUCCCAAUGUGAUCAGUAACAGUGUGUAGUCUCAACACUUCAAGCCAAGUUUCAUGUGCCAAAUAGUCAGCGGAUUCAAUUCCUGCCCGCUUUUCUCACCAUGUUGAUCAAAGAGUACAGAAUACCCCUGCCCCUCACCGUGGAGGAGUACAGGAUCGCCCAGCUCUACAUGAUAGCUAAGAAGAGCAGAGAAGAGAGCUGUGGUGAAGGCAGCGGGGUGGAGAUUUUAGUGAAUGAACCCUACACCGAAGGCCCUGGAGGGUCUGGACAAUAUACUCAUAAAAUCUUCCAUGUUGGCAGUCACCUGCCUGGUUGGCUCAAGGCUCUUUUGCCCAAAUCUGCCUUCAUCGUGGAGGAAAAGGCUUGGAAUGCCUACCCUUACACCAGAACUCGCUACACCUGCCCUUUUAUCGAGAAGUUUAGUCUGGACAUUGAAACCGUCUACCGUGAAGACUGCGGAGACAUUGAGAACGUCUUUAAGCUCAGCAAAUCCGAGCUGAACGACCGAGCCGUCGAUUUGAUUGAUGUAGUGAAAGAUCAAUUGCCCACGGCUAGCGAUUACGUCAAGGAAGAAGAUCCAUGCGUCUACAUCAGCCGGAAGACGGGCAGAGGGCCGUUGAGUGACUCUUGGAUUCAAGAUUACUGGCGCGAAUGCAAGGGUCAGACGUUGCCCUUGUCCAAUGGCAAGGCCAUCAUGUGCGCCUACAAGCUGUGCCGGGUGGAAUUCAAGUACUGGGGCAUGCAGGCCAAGAUCGAGCGGUUCAUCCACGACAUUGCCCUGAGGAAGACGAUGGUGCGAGCCCACCGGCAGGCCUGGACCUGGCAGGACGAGUGGUUCAACCUGACGAUGGACGACAUCCGCGAACUGGAACGGCAAACGCAAGAGGCCCUGGCCAAGAAAAUGGCCUCGGCCACGACGACGACCAGCGAAGGCGGCCUGGAACAGCAGCAGCUGCAGCAAGAGGCCAAGACGAGCGGGGGAGUCAUUCCGUCCAGUCUGGUGCCGGCCUCGCCCGAAAUUGGCGGCCAGGAAACGGUGGACAGCAAAGGACAGCCGGUAGCAGCUGCUUCAGUCCAGGGAGCUCCAUCAUGGCCCAUGUCGUGCAUUUCCGAGUCGAGCAGCGAAGACGACGAGUUUUUCGACUGCCAAGAUUUCCGUUCCGCUCAGGCGGGCGGGGCCUUGUCACCGACCAUGGUCCGCUGGAGUUCAAUGGAGUUGGUCCCACAGGGCGAAGAGGCUGACGAACUGGACCCUGCCGAGAAAGUGCCAGACGAACGAAUCGAAGAAAGGGACAGCAUCUUUUCGGCUGGUUACCUGCAGCGAUUCGGGGCUAAUCAAAGGCGGCCGUCCCGCAAGCUGGUCAGCUCUUUCCUGCGGGCCAGUGGAAGUGGCCGGUCUCAAUCUCCUGGCAGCACGGGUGGAUCGAAUACGUCGUCGCUGCAAUCGCAUCCGGCCAGCGCCCUGAUUUUGGUGUUCCACGGCGGCACCGUCCUGGACGUCUCGUCUGAAUUGGCCAACAAAGCCGCCGAUUUGGCCACGUUCCGCAGCAAUUUGGAGGCUGUCAUCCGUCAACAUUUUCCCAGUUUGUGCUCGGGUCGCUUGGCCGUCCGUCUCGUCUCAUGCCCAACCUUGUGCCCAGAUGCAAUCACCGUCCUCAACAGUUUGUCUUGUUCCUCAUCCGCUUUGGUCGACCCUGUCGCAUCACCGCCACCACCGACGUCAGCGGAUUCUUCUCAUCCGGCCACGUCGGACUCGUCGGCAGGCGAUCCAGUUGCUCCCCCACCACCGGCCACCAGUGCUGCUCCUGCAGCCACCGCCUGCUGGCCACCGCUGGGCUGCCUGCCGCUGUUUGCCGCCUCGUCGCCGGAAUACGCCGACACGGUGACCCGCACGAUCGUGGCGGCCAAUCUCGCCUAUUCAGAGUUCCUCAAAUCGCCGGAAGGCGGUGGCUUCUCCGGUGCUGUGGCCGUGGUGGCCGACUCGGCCGGAUCCGUCCUCCUCUACGACGCCCUUUGCAAAUCAUCCGACCACAUGGACGGCCCUGGCGGCGACAUUCAGUCGCAUUUCGGCGGCAGCGACAACAGCAUCGCCGAAGAACCCGACCAGCACAGUCCAGGCGGCGUCUUUGAAGAGGAGAAGAAGGAACGGGAUCACUUUGCUCCUUCCGGCGCAUCGUCCUCUUUCAAAAGUCCCAGGUCCUAUCAUCACCUGCAAGCGCCGACCAACCGCCGGCACUCCACAUCGGCCAGCGAACACGGCCCAACUCGUCACAGUUCCUCAUCCGCCGCCAUUAUCAAAAAUUCUUACCUGGACUUUGAAGUGGGCGAUUGCUUCCUCCUGGGAAGUCCGCUCUCGUUGGUCUUGGCCUUUCGCAAGUGGAGCCACAAUCACCAUGGCGAACGUUGGCCACGCCGUCCUCACUGCCACGGCAUUUUCAAUUUAUUCCACUCGAUGGAUCCCCUGGCCGCCCGUUUGGAGCCGCUCCUGUCGGCCCGUUUCGCCAACACUCGGCCCGUCUCUGUUCCGCGCUACCAGCGCUACCCGCUGGGCGACGGAAAGUCCAACACUUUGGUGGAUUUCGUCCAGAACAAUCCUCAGCUGUUUCAGGAGCCGACGUCGACACCUCCCCAGCCAAAGGCCGAGGAUAACAAUGGACUGAGCAAGCGGCGGCAGUCGGACGGAUCCUUCUUCCACGGAAGUGACAACAGUCUCGGAUCCGAUCCACUGGCAGCUCAAAUGGCUUCACUGUCGCAGCGUUGGUGGGGUAGUAAACGAUUGGAUUACGUGUUUUACUGCCCCGACGGACUAACGUCGUUCCCGCCGUCGGCGCUGCCUCAUUUGCUUCACGCCUCCUUCUGGGAGUCGGCCGACGUGGCGGCUUUCAUCCUGCGCCAACUGAUGCGACUGGACGUUAGCGGAGGAGGAGGAGUCGGAAGCUCGGCUGGAUCGGUUGACGAAUAUUACGGAGACAUCAGGGACUCUAACGGCGGAUCGUUGCCCUUCAGUCCCGGCACCCCCUGCGAAAAGUGGAUGCGCAAACGGACGUCGGUCAAGAUAAAAAAUAUCGGAGCCAAUCAUCGAGCCAACGACAUUAUCGUCAACGAAACGAUGCCUCAGGUUAUCGUCGCCAGGUUCAUGUACGGGCCACUGGACAUGGUGGCGUUGACUGGCGAGAAAGUGGACGUUCACUUUUUGCGCGAUGCCAACAACGGCGAAUGGGAUCUCAUCGCCACCGAAGUGACGGACAAGGCCGGUCGAUUGGUCUGCACUCUGCCGCCGGAUCGAACUCUUCCGCCUGGACUUCAUCCCAUCAAAAUGGUGGUCCGUGGCGAUCACACGUACGCCGAUUUGUACGUGGCCGUUUUGCCGGCCCGGACCCAGGCCGUCGUCUUCAGCAUCGACGGAUCGUUCACGGCCUCCGUGUCGGUCACUGGACGUGACCCCAAAGUGCGGGCCGGCGCUGUGGACGUUGUCCGCCAUUGGCAGGAGCUCGGCUACUUGAUCAUCUACACCACUGGCCGUCCGGAUAUGCAGCAACGUCGAGUGGUCUCUUGGCUGGCCCAGCACAACUUCCCGCACGGUUUGCUGUCGUUCGCCGACGGGUUGAGCACCGAUCCGCUGCGCCACAAGGCCGACUACCUCAAACUGUUGGUCAACGACGUCGGACUGGAGAUCAGGGCCGCCUACGGUUCCAGCAAAGACAUAAGCGUCUACGCCAGCGUCGGCAUCAAGCCGGAGAACAUUUACAUUGUGGGCAAGGUAUCGCGCAAGCACCAAGGUCAAGCCCAGUCUCUCAUCGAAGGUUACGCCAGCCAUUUGUCUAAUUUGGCUUUGCAUCAGUGCCGGCCGGCCCAGAUCAAUCCUUACCUCCUUCUGCCAAGGGGUUGCCUCUCUCUGCCCGGUCACGGAGCUCCUCUUUUACGCCGAAGUGACGCAAUGUUAUUGUGAGUGAUGGGAAUAGGAUUUUUAAGAUGGGGGUGGAGCUGGGGCGUGGGUUUCCUUUUCCCAGCAGACGAGGCUGAGCCGACCCGAACGAGUCAAAAGUGGUCCGACCAGCCGCAGACUCUGCCAGUCUCACGAACGAACUCGUCACAGCCGUUCCAGUUCCAGCAGCAGCAGCGCAACAUUGUUUUUUUUUGGGUUUUCAAUCGAGAUUCCUUUCGGCCGCUGGCUAAAGCUUAGCUUCUUCUUCUGCCGGCACUGUCACCUUGAUCGGACAGCAUCACUAAUAACACGUCACCGACAGCAGACGAUAUCUAAAAUCGAAAAAAGGAUUGACGGAAUAUGAACCGGAACUACAGAAACAUGAACGGGCUGCGUUUCCUGAUGCUCAUUCUCGGUCUGAUGAUGAUCGUCAACGUCGGCCAAGUCCGGCCGGAUGACGAAACGCCGGAAGAAGAUGUCGACGACGAGAAUUUUCUAUCCGGCAGUGCUGCUGGAUCAUCCGACUCGGCAGAAGAGGACGACAACAACAAUAAAGGGAUUGAAUUGUACUUGAGCGCCAUGAAAGAUCUUUAUCGACAGAGCAAGAGACAAGAAGCCGAGCCGUUGGUUACCAGCCGAAGUGGGGCAUCGGCUCCCAUCGCUGCGCUUUAUCGCCGCAGUGCGUUAAAUAAGAAUUUCAUCCGGUUCGGACGCAGCGGCGGAGGAGUGAUCAAGACUGAUGUCAGCCGUCAGAUGCAGCCAACGCAACCCAUCAGGUUGAUGGGGUUGAACGAAUCGGAUUCCGGCAAGGAUGGAGAGCGAUCGUUUCAUCCGGCUCGCCCUUCUCGCAGUUUGAGAUCCAAUUUCAUUCGUUUCGGUCGCAGUUUCUUCCCGACGUCGAACCGAUGGGGCGAAACUGUACGCCGAUCCGCCCGCCGCACUCCAUCCGCCGGCCGGCAAAUGAUGAGCCUUGUCCACCUACCCGAUUCUUCUUCUUCUUCUCGCCGUUAAUGCCCGCAACCACCAACAACAACAAAAUCCACUCGGAGAAUAAGAGCACAGCCCCCCUAUUAUUCCACCCCCUGUUCGAUGUAUCUGACAUUUGAUUCCCCCCCACCACCAAAUGUUAUUAUUAUUACCAACAAUUUCCUACUUGUCUAUCUUUUGAUCGAUGUUUUAAUCGUUAUAUUCCAUCAAAAUAAUUUAUUUAAACAUGAUUGGAAUUCAAAUUCGAACGACACGCCGUCUAUACGUCCUCCUACCAAAGCGGAUCAUUUCUAUUAAAUUAACCAACACAGAAAUUCAAUCUGAACUGUAUUGAAUACUGUAGGAAAUAUAUAACCAAAUUUGAUAUCA